GGGCUCGUAGCUUAGCUUGGUUGGAGCGCUCGACUGAUAAAAAAUUAAAUUUUGAAAUCGAGAGGUCCGGAGUUCAAAUCUCCGCGGGCCCA
rnacentral:tRNA from 1 species